rnacentral:lncRNA from 1 species
GAGAUAUCAUACUAGGGCUUAUACCGGCCAUUAGUACUGAUUACUGGGGAGGUUUUGAGGUGCAAAAUGGCCGUGAUGAUUGGAAUCGCUUUCAGAGUUUCUUGGCUUUGUUGCCUGCUAAUUGGAGGGAUAACCUGUUCUACAUCAAGUGAUGGGUAUCCUGCACUAGGUUCUGAUGCAGCAUGGCUCUAUGCCGGCUCACUUAGGUCUAAAGGAUAUGGUAAUUACAACUCUCCAACAGCUCAAAUGCAAGCGCAGCUGACCGAAGAGCAACAGAAGCAUCCGGCCGUCAUCCUGCAAAAGCAACUGGUCCACAUGCCCCAGGCACCUCAGAAAAUGUGGUAUCCAGCUCAAAUGCCCCAGCAGGAAAAGCAACCGGCCGCCAUGACCCAACAGCAGACUCUACCGGACAGUUAUCCUAAGCAGCCUCAAGCAGUGUUGUAUCCAGCUCAAAUGCCCCAGAAGCAACCAGCUACUGAACUUCAGCAUCAGAAGGAACAGGCCUCCAUACCCCAGCUACCUCAGCAAGUGUGGUAUCCAGUACAAAUUCCCCAGCAGCAGAAGGAACUGACCACCAUGCCCCAGAAGCAACUGGCUCCAAUUCCUAUACUGCAGAAACAACCAACCGCUAUGCCCCAGCAAGCAUGGUAUCCAGCUCAAAUGCAGCAGAAGCAACCAGCCCCAAUGCCUCCACUGCAGAAGCAACCGGCCACCAUGCCCCAGCAAGUGUGGCAUCCAGCUCAAAUGCCCAAGCAACAAAAGCAACCAGCCACUGAACCUCAGCAGCAGAAGGAACUGUCCGCCAUGCCCCAGCUUCUUCAGCAAGUGUGGCAUCCAGCUCAAUUUCCCCAGAAGCAACAUCAACCAGCUACUGAACCUCAGCAGCAAAUUGAACCGACCGCCAUGCCCCAGCCACCUCAGCAAGUGUGGCAUUCAGAUCAAUUUCCCCAGGAGCAGAAGCAACCAGCCCCUAUGCAUCUAGCGCAGAAGGAACUGACUGCCAUACCCCAACAACUGUGGCAAAUGGCUCAAAUGCCCCAGCAGCAUAAGCAACCGUCUACCAUGCUUCAGCAAGUGUGGCAUCUGGCGCAGAAGCAACAGGCCCCUAUGCCCCAGCAGACUCACGAUGUGUGGUAUCCAGCUAAAAUGGUCCAGAAGAUACAAGCCGCUGCAACUCGGAGGCAGAAGGAACUGACCGCCAUAACUAAGCAAGAGUGGCAUCCAGCUCAAUUUCCCCAGCAGCAGAAGCAACCGGCCUCCACGCCUCUACCGCAGGAGCAACUGACUGCCGUAUCCCAGCAAGUGUGGUAUCCAGCUCAAAUGCCUCAGAAGCAUCUGGCCUCCAUGCCGCAGAAGCAACCGACCACCAUUCCACAGCAACCAGUGUAUCCAGCUCAAAAGCCCCAGCUGCAGAAGCAACCGGCCGCUGAACCUCAGCAGCAAAUUGAACCGACCUCCAUUCCCGAGCAAGUGUGGCAUCCAGCUCAAUUUCCCCAGCAGCAGAAGCAACCGGCCUCCAUGCCUCUACCGCAGGAGCAACCGACUGCCGUAUCCCAGCAAGU